UACGGAGGGGGCUAGCGUUGUUCGGAAUUACUGGGCGUAAAGCGCACGUAGGCGGCUUUGUAAGUUAGAGGUGAAAGCCCCGGGCUUAACCUGGGAACUGCAUUUGAUACUACUGAGCUUGAGUACGGGAGAGGAUAGUGGAAUUCCCAGUGUAGAGGUGAAAUUCGUAGAUAUUGGGAAGAACACCUGUGGCGAAAGCGGCUCACUGGACCAUUACUGACGCUGAUGCACGAAAGCUAGGGGAGCAAACAGG
rnacentral:rRNA from 1 species